rnacentral:rRNA from 1 species
AUACGUAGGGUGCAAGCGUUAAUCGGAAUUACUGGGCGUAAAGCGUGCGCAGGCGGUUUUGUAAGACAGAGGUGAAAUCCCCGGGCUCAACCUGGGAACUGCCUUUGUGACUGCAGGGCUAGAGUACGGCAGAGGGGGAUGGAAUUCCGCGUGUAGCAGUGAAAUGCGUAGAUAUGCGGAGGAACACCGAUGGCGAAGGCCAUCCCCUGGGCCUGUACUGACGCUCGUGCACGAAAGCGUGGGGAGCAAACAGGAGUAGAUACCCUGGGAGUCCACGCCCUAAACGAUGUCAACUGGGUGUUGGGUCUUCAUUGACUCAGUAACGAAGCUAACGCGUUAAGUUGACCGCCUGGGGAGUACGGCCGCAAGGUUGAAACUCAAAUGAAUUGACGGGG